rnacentral:rRNA from 1 species
AGCGAACGCUGGCGGCAGGCUUAACACAUGCAAGUCGAACGGGCGUAGCAAUACGUCAGUGGCAGACGGGUGAGUAACGCGUGGGAACGUACCUUUUGGUUCGGAACAACCCAGGGAAACUUGGGCUAAUACCGGAUAAGCCCUUACGGGGAAAGAUUUAUCGCCGAAAGGUCGGCCCGCGUCUGAUUAGCUAGUUGGUGAGGUAACGGCUCACCAAGGCGACGAUCAGUAGCUGGUCUGAGAGGAUGAUCAGCCACAUUGGGACUGAGACACGGCCCAAACUCCUACGGGAGGCAGCAGUGGGGAAUAUUGGACAAUGGGCGGCAAGCCUGAUCCAGCCAUGCCGCGUGAGUGAUGAAGGCCCUAGGGUUGUAAAGCUCUUUUGUGCGGGAAGAUAAUGAGGUACCGCAAGAAUAAGCCCCGGCUAACUUCGU